GAACUGCGAUAAGUAAUGUGAAUUGCAGAAUUCAGUCAAUCAUCGAGUCUUUGAACGCACAUUGCGCCCCCUGGCAUUCCGGGGGGCAUGCCUGUCCGAGCGUCAUUGCUGCCCUUCAAGCCCGGCUUGUGUGUUGGGUCGUCGUCCCCUCCGGGGGACGGGCCCGAAAGGCAGCGGCGGCACCGCGUCCGGUCCUCGAGCGUAUGGGGCUUUGUCACCCGCUCGAUAAGGACCGGCCGGGCGCCAGCCGGCGUCUCCAACCUUUUUUUCUCAGGUUGACCUCGGAUCAGGUAGGGAUACCCGCUGAACUUAAGC
rnacentral:misc_RNA from 1 species